GAUGAACGCUGGCGGUGUGCCUAAUACAUGCAAGUCGAGCGAACAGACGAGGAGCUUGCUCCUCAGACGUUAGCGGCGGACGGGUGAGUAACACGUGGAUAACCUACCUAUAAGACUGGGAUAACUUCGGGAAACCGGAGCUAAUACCGGAUAACAUGUUGGACCGCAUGGAUCAACAGUGAAAGACGGUCUUGCUGUCACGUAUAGAUGGAUCCGCGUCGCAUUAGCUAGUUGGUAAGGUAACGGCUUACCAAGGCAACGAUGCGUAGCCGACCUGAGAGGGUGAUCGGCACCACUGGAACUGGGCCACGGUCCAGCCCCCUCGGGGAGGAAGCAGUAGGGAAUCUUCCGCAAUGGGCGAAAGCCUGCCGGAGAAACGCCGCGUGAGUGAAGAAGGUCUUCGGUUCGUAAAACUCUGUUAUUAGGGAGGAACAAAUGUGUAAGUAACUAUGCCCGUAUUGACGGUACCUCAACAGAAAGCCCCGGCUAACUACGUG
rnacentral:rRNA from 1 species